GAUGAACGCUAGGCGGGAGGCUUAACACAUGCAAGUCGAGGGGCAGCACUGAUAGCAAUAUUAGGUGGCGACCGGCGGACGGGUGAGUAACGCGUAUGCAACCUACCCUUUACAGGGGGAUAGCCCGGAGAAAUUCGGAUUAAUACCCCAUAGAUCAGUGAUUCUGCAUGGGAUUACUGGUAAAGCUUCGGCGGUAAAGGAUGGGCAUGCGUCCCAUUAGCUAGUUGGUAGGGUAACGGCCUACCAAGGCAACGAUGGGUACGGGGUCUUAAAGGAUGGACCCGCACACUGGCACUGAGACACGGGCCAGACUCCUACGGGAGGCAGCAGUGAGGAAUAUUGGUCAAUGGGGGGAACCCUGAACCAGCCAUCCCGCGUGCAGGAAGACAGUUCUAUGGAUUGUAAACUGCUUUUCUUGGGGAAGAAUAAUGACGACGUGUCGUCAGAUGACGGUACCCGAGGAAUAAGCAUCGGCUAACUCCGUG
rnacentral:rRNA from 1 species